CAAGUGUGACUUGUAAAAGAAUAUACAAGUUAAUAUUUUGAUUGGUUUUAAGGCAUUGGAUUGGUAGCUAAUUGCAAGAGGCGCAAUAUGGACAAAGAAUGGAUGUCAGCUGAUAGGAUGUCAGUAGAAUAUAUAAAAGGGGUCGAUGAGUUUCUUAAAUUUAGUUUGGAUCAUGCCAAAGAUCCAAACUAUAUUUGUUGUCCUUGUAGUAAGUGUGGAAAUAUGAAAAAGAUGACUGCCACAAUAAUAAAAGAGCACUUAUAUUUCCACGGGAUAGACAAAAGUUAUAAAAUAUGGUAUUGGCAUGGUGAAGAGCUUCAUGUUACUCCGGACCCUCCUAUGAUGAAUGAAGAUCGGAAUUAUAGGCAAUUGGAUCGUGAGGAUAAUUUAGAUGAAAUGAUUGACGAUGCAUAUUAUGAAUCAAAAGUAGAUCCCGUUAAAUUUGAAAAUCUUCUUAAUGACGCU